AAUUAGCGCUGGCAGAGUGCAUAACACAUGCAAGUCGCGCGAGGUGGCGGAUUAUCGCGCCUAGCGGCAAACGAGUGAGUAACACGUAAAUAACCUGCCCCCGAAAGGCGACAACCAGCCGAAAGGUUGGCUAAUACGCCGUACUAUCCCGCGAAGGCAUCUUCGUGGGAUGAGAGCCGUAAGGCGUUCGGGGAGGGAUUUGCGACCCAUCAGCUAGUGGUGUGAAUGGACCACCAAGGCUAUGACGGUACCGGCCUGAAAGGCGACGGCACGAAGGCACUGAGAAACGGGCCUU
rnacentral:rRNA from 1 species